rnacentral:rRNA from 1 species
GAUGAACGCUGGCGGCGUGCCUAAUACAUGCAAGUCGAGCGAACAGACGAGGAGCUUGCUCCUCUGACGUUAGCGGCGGACGGGUGAGUAACACGUGGAUAACCUACCUAUAAGACUGGGAUAACUUCGGGAAACCGGAGCUAAUACCGGAUAAUAUAUUGAACCGCAUGGUUCAAUAGUGAAAGACGGUUUUGCUGUCACUUAUAGAUGGAUCCGCGCCGCAUUAGCUAGUUGGUAAGGUAACGGCUUACCAAGGCAACGAUGCGUAGCCGACCUGAGAGGGGGAUCGGCCACACUGGAACUGAGACACGGUCCAGACUCCUACGGGAGGCAGCAGUAGGGAAUCUUCCGCAAUGGGCGAAAGCUUGACGGAGCAACGCCGCGUGAGUGAUGAAGGUCUUCGGAUCGUAAUACUCUGUUAUUAGGGAAGAACAAAUGUGUAAGUAACUAUGCACGUCUUGACGGUACCUAAUCAGAAAGCCACGGCUAACUACGUG